rnacentral:rRNA from 1 species
CGUAACGCCGCCGUAGGAGGAUGAAGUACCUUCGGUACGUAAACUCCUUUCGAUCGGGACGAUUAUAGACGGUACCCGGAAGAAGAAGCCCCGGCUAAACUUCCGUGC